GGACCUGACUGCUAUCGGAUUGAUACUAAGCCAUGCGAGUCAUUGUAGCAAUACAAGGCAUACGGCUCAGUAACGCGUAGUCAACCUAACCUAUGGACGGGAAUAACCUCGGGAAACUGAGAAUAAUGCCCGAUAGAACAUUAUGCCUGGAAUGGUUUAUGUUCCAAAUGAUUUAUCGCCGUAGGAUGGGACUGCGGCCUAUCAGUUUGUUGGUGAGGUAAUGGCCCACCAAGACUAUUACAGGUACGGGCUCUGAGAGGAGUAGCCCGGAGAUGGGUACUGAGACACGGACCCAGGCCCUAUGGGGCGCAGCAGGCGAGAAAACUUUGCAAUGUGCGAAAGCACGACAAGGUUAAUCCGAGUGGUUUCUGCUAAAGAAACCUUUUGUCGAGUCCUAGAAACACUGAUGAAUAAGGGGUGGGCGAGUUCUGGUGUCAGCG
rnacentral:rRNA from 1 species